UUGAACGCUGGCGGCAUGCCUUACACAUGCAAGUCGAACGGCAGCACGGGAGCAAUCCUGGUGGCGAGUGGGCGAACGGGUGAGUAAUAUAUCGGAACGUGCCCGGUCGUGGGGGAUAACGUAGCGAAAGCUACGCUAAUACCGCAUACGAUCUAUGGAUGAAAGCGGGGGAUCGCAAGACCUCGCGCGAUUGGAGCGGCCGAUAUCAGAUUAGGUAGUUGGUGAGGUAAAGGCUCACCAAGCCGACGAUCUGUAGCUGGUCUGAGAGGACGACCAGCCACACUGGGACUGAGACACGGCCCAGACUCCUACGGGAGGCAGCAGUGGGGAAUUUUGGACAAUGGGCGCAAGCCUGAUCCAGCAAUGCCGCGUGCAGGAUGAAGGCCUUCGGGUUGUAAACUGCUUUUGUACGGAACGAAACGGUGAGCUCUAAUACAGUUUGCUAAUGACGGUACCGUAAGAAUAAGCACCGGCUAACUACGUG
rnacentral:rRNA from 1 species